rnacentral:lncRNA from 1 species
UUCCAUUAUAGUUGAUUUAGUGUUCCGUCGAUUUCUACUAUACAGUAAAGUGACUCAUUCAUGCACACACACACACACACACACACACAUAUACAUAUAUAUAUUCUUUUUCUCACAUUAUCCUCCAUCAUGUUCCAUCACAAGUGACUAGAUAUAUUUCCCAGUGCUAUACAGCAGGGUCUCAUUGCUUAUCCACUCCAAAUGUAAUAGUUUGCAUCUAUCAACCCCAGAUUUCCAGUCUAUUCCACUCCCCUUGGCAACCACAAGUCUGUUCUCCAAGUCCACGAGUUUCUUUCCUGUGGAAAGGUUCAUUUGUGCCAUAGAUUAGAUUCCAGAUAUAAGUGAUAUCAUGUGGUAUUUGUCUUUCUCUGUCUGACUCACUUCACUUGGUUUAUUGAUCACUAAAAAGCUAGUCAUACAACAGGGGCUACAAGGAAAUGAGAUACCAAUUCUGCUUCUGAACCCAAUAAUGAUAACCACUUUAUUACUUUAGCAGUUACCAUCUAUUGAGAACUUCCUACUUACAAGGCACUGCACUAAACAUACCCGAUCCUGACAAAUAUUCUUACUACUUUCAAGAUAGUUAGUGUUAUCUUCUAGUGACAGAAGAAGAAACAGUCUCAGAGCAGUUCAGUAACUUGCUCAAGGCUAUACACCCAGUAAGGGCCAAGGCCAGGAUUCUAGACUCCAUUCGAUUCCAAAUCUGGUGCUCCUGGGGGUUCCACUAUUGAGGAUAUGGGGAAACUGAUGGGCUAUAAAAAAGAAGGAUUAACUUGUAUCUUACCCACAAUCAAGUCAGAAUCUCCUCAUUGCUUUGCUGCCAGAGCAACCUCAAGACAAGGAGCUUCUGGAGUGGUUGGAGCUUCCACUUGAUCCUCACAAUGAGAACUAAAAGCAAACCAAGGAGAGAUGGCACUCCUGACGGGAUGGGAGCUUAGAUCUCAGGUGGACCAGCAUCUGGGGGACACAGCUCGUGGUGAAACAGAGGUCCAAGAAGGAGAGGUUGGAGAGGAAAAAGUACAUCGGGGAGUGGAGCCUGGGGUCCAGCGCGG